CAUCUUUGCAAAAGGGUUUACUGAUAUGCAAACACAUAUUUUCACACUCACAAACACACAAACACACAUGCUCACAAAACACACACACUCACACACACACACACACACACACACACAUGCUCACGAAACACACACACACUCACACAGCCCUGGUGCGAUGCAGUCAAGAUACACAUGGGUUCGAAAACGCGCACACACACAAAAACACACAAGUGCACACACACAAAAACAUGCAAGCACACACAGACACAAACACACAAGCACACACAGACACAAACACACAAGCACACACACACACAAACACACAAGCACACACACACACAAACACACAAGCACAAACACGCAAGCACACACAGACACAAAUACACAAGUGCACACACACAAACACACCGUUCCGUCAGUGAUGAAGAGGUACACCAUUCAGGGCAAGCUCCAAACACAGACACAAGUGCACACACACACACACACACAAACACGCAAGCACACACACACACACAAACACACAAGCACACACAGACACAAACACACAAGCACACACAGACACAAACACACAAGCACACACAGACACAAACACGCAAGCACACACACACACAAACACACAAGCACACACAGACACAAACACACAAGCACACACAGACACAAACACACAAGCACACACAGACACAAACACACAAGCACACACAGACACAAACACACAAGCACACACAGACACAAACACACAAGCACAAGCACACACAAACACACAAGCACACACAGACACAAACACACAAGCACACACAGACACAAACACACAAGCACACACACACACAAACACACAAGCACACACAGACACAAACACACAAGCACACACAGACACAAACACACAAGCACACACAGACACAAACACACAAGCACACACAGACACAAACACACAAGCACACACACACACAAACACACAAGCACACACACACGCAAGCACACACAGACACAAACACACAAGCACAAGCACACACAAACACACAAGCACACACAGACACAAACACACAAGCACACACACACACAAACACACAAGCACACACAGACACAAACACACAAGCACACACAGACACAAACACACAAGCACACACAGACACAAACACACAAGCACACACAGACACAAACACACAAGCACACACAGACACAAACACACAAGCACACACAGACACAAACACACAAGCACACACAGACACAAACACACAGGCACACACAGACACAAACACACAAGCACACACAGACACAAACACACACACAGACACAAACACACAAGCACACACAGACACAAACACACAAGCACACACAGACAUAAACACACAAGCACACACAGACACAAACACACAAGCACACACAGACACAAACACACAAGCACACACAAACACACAAGCACACACAGACACAAACACACAAGCACACACAGACACAAACACACAAGCACACACAGACACAACAACACACAGGCACACACACACAAGCACACACAGACACAAACACACACACAGACACAAACACACAAGCACACACAGACACAAACACACAAGCACACACAGACACAAACACACAAGCACACACACACACACAAACACACAAGCACACACAGACACAAACACACAAGCACACACAGACACAAACACACAAGCACACACACACACAAACACACAAGCACACAAACACACAAACACACAAGCACACACACACACAAGCACACACAGACACAAACACACAAGCACACACACACAAGCACAAACACACAAGCACACACAGACACAAACACACAAGCACACACAGACACAAACACACAAGCACACACACACACAAACACACAAGCACACACAGACACAAACACACAAGCACACACACACACAAACACACAAGCACACACAGACACAAACACACAAGCACACACAGACACAAACACACAAGCACACACAGACACAAACACACAAGCACACAC
rnacentral:lncRNA from 1 species